rnacentral:rRNA from 1 species
ACGAACGCUGGCGGCGUGCUUAACACAUGCAAGUCGAACGAAGAGCGAUGGAAGCUUGCUUCUAUCAAUCUUAGUGGCGAACGGGUGAGUAACGCGUAAUCAACCUGCCCUUCAGAGGGGGACAACAGUUGGAAACGACUGCUAAUACCGCAUACGAUCUAAUCUCGGCAUCGAGGAUAGAUGAAAGGUGGCCUCUACAUGUAAGCUAUCACUGAAGGAGGGGAUUGCGUCUGAUUAGCUAGUUGGCGGGGUAACGGCCCACCAAGGCGAUGAUCAGUAGCCGGUCUGAGAGGAUGAACGGCCACAUUGGGACUGAGACACGGCCCAGACUCCUACGGGAGGCAGCAGUGGGGAAUCUUCCGCAAUGGACGAAAGUCUGACGGAGCAACGCCGCGUGAGUGAUGACGGCCUUCGGGUUGUAAAGCUCUGUUAAUCGGGACGAAAGGCCUUCUUGCGAAUAGUGAGAAGGAUUGACGGUACCGGAAUAGAAAGCCACGGCUAACUACGUG